rnacentral:lncRNA from 1 species
UGUACCGUGUCAUCUUUUUUAUGUAUCGUUUAUUAAGUAAUUAAUCGAUCUUACGAAUAGUAAGAAACAUAGUUGAUACUUCCGAAUGUAUAAUUUGAGUUCAAAAGUUUGUUAUUUGAAUUAUACAAUUCGUUAGUCUUGUCACUUCUUUGUAAAUUUUUCAAGCCUUUUCGUCUUGGCAACUGAGAAAGAGAUGCAUGUUCUAAUUUUUAGAUUACGACGUUUAUCUUAUUCGCGUAACAGAACUUCUUUCGCGUGUCUAUGCACCUUGUAAAAUAUAACUGUACUUUCAUAUCGUGAAUUAUGAAUUUAGGAUACGGAAAAUCAAGACAGAUGCGUAUCUAUGGAUGCAAAGGAUUACGAGGUGUGAAAAGAAAAAGUACAGGCCCUUUCUUUAAAUAUGGUGCUAAUGUUAAUGCUUUUACUCCAGGAGGUUGCAGCCAUAGAACUGGUUGAUGAAUAGAAUUGCUAAUCCAAUUUAAUAUGUUUUCGGAAGUCCAUUCAGAGUCUUCUGGAUAC